UUUCUUUCUUAUCUCCACUCUAUCCCCACCAAGAGACUCCUCCCCAUCCUGGCUCCUUCUCGUUCUCGUUCUUGUCUCCUCUUCCCCUCUGGCCGUCCAUCUCUUUCCUCUGGCCCUCCAUCUCCCAAGGUCAAGCCACCAUGGAGGUCCGCCUGUCCUGCCAAGGAGCCGACGCUGAGCACUGUAUCUGGCUCCCACCACCCCGCACCGGCCACGACCGCCAAAGAUCCGGCCGCUCUCCGAUCUGCGGCCCUGCUCCGACUAACCGCCGGAUCCGGCCGCCCUCGGCUUGGCCGCUGCCGCAUCUGGCCGUCCACCGCCUUUUCCUGCAGGUUUCUCUCCCUCUCUCAAUCUCUCUCUCCCUCUCUCACUUUCUCUUUCUCUCCUUGCAGAUUCACGCCGCCAGAGGAGGAGAGAUGAGGAGGGUGACGCCUUGGGGCUGGCGCGUUCUCGGCCGCAAAAAGGAGGAGGUAGCCAACGCUGGAGUUCCGCCGGCGGCUAGGAGGAGGUGACGGACGGGUUUGUGUAGGCCGGAUCCGUUCUUUUUUUUCAAUUUCUGGUUCUUUUGAUCCCUUCCAAAACUGUAGAUCAAAUUUGUUGUUUAAUUCUUUUUGUAGAUCGGGUUUGUUUUGAUCCCUUCCAAAACUGUAGAUCAAAUUGUUCACAUCUGUGGAUGUGAUUAUGUGGGCUGUGUGGAUUCGGGGCGGCUUGGGGCCGGCCUCUUUUUUUUUCCUUCUAAUCCAUAUCAGUGUCGGGCGUGUAGCUGAUGUGACAGGAAGUUAGCGACGCCCGUUACUCUUUUUCGACCGUCACUAAUGAGUCUUUUUUUUUAAUAGUUCCUUUAUUUGAGCUACCAGAUACAUGUAGCUAAUCGAUGGGAUCGAUGAUAGUUCAUGCAGAUGCAGGCAAAGGCAAUCCGGCGAAACUCUCGUUUACCAGUGACCUACCGGCACACUGCCAACCAAUGAAAAGGCAGGGACGAUGUUGUGAGAAUGUGAGGUACACCCAUAUCAGGAAAACAAAAUACUAGCUACACCGUGCCCGGCCCCAAGGAGUUGUAUGUGCAUGUGUUCCUGACCGGAUAGCAGAGGCAAAGUGAAUUAGUGUUUGGUUGAGAGAAUGGAGGGGAACAUAAUGGAAAUGGUUCUUAUUUUGGAUUUGAUUCUUGUUUCUAUAAGAUGCAGUAAUCCCCCGUCUCAUAUUAAAUGACUCAAAUUUGCACGAAUAUGAAUGUAUCUAUACCCAAAAACGUUUCGAUACAUAAAUAUUUAAUCACUUAAUAUAUGGGACGGAGGGAGUAGAAAAGUGGGAUGGAACCUCAAAAGAGCUAGAAUACUUUCUACUAAUAUGCUUAACCAUCCCAUUUUUCAAAAGCAGAACUAGAGCCGUUCCAUUACAUUCCACACUCCUUUGUGAUAAUACAUCUCUUAAGCCGAUAUCCAUCCCUCAUAUUCAGGCUCAAUAUGUUUUUUUAGGGGAACAACAUCAAGCAUCUAGACAUAUAAAUCUGGCCCAAUUCGAAACAAAACAGCUGGACACCAGCAAAUACUAUUCGUGAUCCCUUAGGCUGUGUUUGGAUUCUGGAAUACAGUGGAAUGUAAUGGAACCAUUCCUCGUUUUGCCUUCAUCCCCACGUUUUGCCUUUUGGAAUACAGUGCAAUGUAAUGGAACCGUUCCUCGUUUUGCCUUCUGGAAUACACAAAAGUAGAAUGGAACCAGGUGGUUCCUCAGAUGGGAAUAUUCCUCUCAGAUGCGGAACCAACACAUAACAGCGAAAUGAAGGAAUGAGGGCGUUCCGAGCGGAAUGCGUGGGCCCGGGCGAGAAAUCAGACCUCGCAUAACCUCCCACCUCUCUCUUCUCUGCUCUAUCCUCACCCCCACCCAAAAAAGCUAGCCCCGAAAAAUCACUUCUUCUUCUCCAUGAGCUCUCUCCAUGGCUUCCCUUCCCCACCGGAUCCCUUCCAUCCCCGGCGAGAUCCCGGCCGUUCUUCAGUAGACCGGGGCGGAGGCAGGAAGAUCCGGGUCGGCGGCGGGAGAGGAGGUCGGCGGUGGGGGAAGAGGAGGCCGGCGUUGGGAUUCGGCACAGGAGAAGUUCGGCGGGGAGAAGAGGAGGCCGGCUAGGGGAGAGGAGGCCGGCGGAGAGCAGUUUAGCAGAGGAGGCCGGCAGUUCGGCAGCGAAGGCCAAAGGCAAUUCAGCUAUGUGCAUCGAGUUCCCGCACGGGGUGGUCAUAUCUUCAGCAUCACAAGACAGUCAAACCAAGGUACUGCUGUCCUUCGUCAUUGCAACUCAUAUCUCCCAUGAUCUUAGCACAUCGGCUAGAAGUAAAACAGUUAUCAUAAGUUGGUGCAGCGGCAAGUGAGUCCUUGUGCAACUGUGCUGCAAACUGUCUAGGGAUGUUCCUCUCUGCAGCUCUGAUAAUUCAUCUUUGCAUCUGCAAGAUCAAUUUUGCUUUGGAUCAGACUGUACUGAACUGUGCUUCGCCGCUGCAAAACUCAUUCAGGCUAGAUCAGCAAGUGACUCCACACUAUCUGUCUGACGAACCUGGAACCGGAAAGUUUUCCUGUCAUGUGAAAUGGCAGCCUCACAUAAAGUUUGCAAUGCUGUAUCAGAGAGAAAAGCUUACAGCAAGAGACAGUUCUGCCAACAAAUAUUCGACAACCUCCAUAUAUACUUUUGAGAGAUUAUCGAAGGGUAUAUAUUUUACCAUGGCACAGUCUAUAUAAUACAGACAUUUUAUCAAAAGUGGAGUUACUACAAUUAGAUCCUUCCACCAAAGGAUCAAGUUAGAACACUAUAGCCCUACAAGAGGUGCUAUAUGGGAACACACCAAAGAACAUCAUCCUUUCUCGCAAAACAGCAUAUGGUCGACAGAAGGGGACAGCCGGGGAUCAUGCAAAGAGACA